UAGCAUUACAGUAAGUAUCUUCUUUGUAUACAGCAACGUAUCAGACCGGGGUUAAAUCAUGAGCGAAUCAGGACUGUAAUCAUUAAAGUUACAUUAAUGUUAACUUUACAGCUCAGUAUCAUAAUGUAAUUUCUUGGCUGUGUAGCUAAUCGAUGUUAUAGACCUCUUGGUGCUAAAUAUAUUCAUGAAUAGACCGUAUUGUUCUAAUGAGAAAAAAAUUUCAUAAAAUUUCAAAACCGCCAUUUUGGUGUCCAAAAUACAACAGUAAUGGCCUUCUUGUUAUGCAGUUGGCUGUCAUUCACGUCAUAAAAAAGGACAGAACUUGUCUUUUUAUCGUUUCUCCGUGGAAAGAUAGGUGUAUAGCUACUAUCAGAACUGGUUAUCAACGAAGUAGACCAGCAGACAGUCACAGGUAGGUCAGUUCUUACGAGUUUUAUUAUUGUAAAAACACCAUAAUAAUCCCAAGAAUAAUAGAUAAUGUACUAUCAGUAUUUUGAAUUGAAAACAAGCCUAUAGAACAAAUGCUCUACAAAGAUACAAGAGGGGCUGUUGCUAGCUAGCCGGAGCCAAAGAAGUCAUUACAGUUUGGACUCAAAGGAAUGGGUUCACUGCUGAUAUUCUAAAUGCCAACAGGACAAGAAACAGAGUGCUACAAACAAGGAAUGAAGUUGGUACAUAUUGUUUCUGCAGGGAACACAAGGGAAAGAUGAUUGCUUGCAAUGGUACGUCCUAACUGUCACAGUGAAUGGUUCCACCACAACUUAAUGCAUUGGGGAUACUGUCCAUACAUGCAUAUUGUCUUAAAGUGGUUUUAUUACUGAUUAUUAUAUAUUUUGUUUGUAUUAUUAUUUUCCAGUAAUAAUUUUUUUCUAAAACAAGUAUUUCCAAAACUGAUUUACAUAAAUUUACUUAAGUAGCACAGUAACAAUCUUAUCAAUUUGUCAGAUAUAUAUACAAUGUAGCAGAACAGUUUGAACCCUUAUCCACUAUGGCCAGCAAAAUAAAGACAUAGCAACUGUCCAACAACCUACCUGUUGUAAUAUUUAUACGAGCAUUUAUAUGAAUCCAAACUUUUAUAAGCCUUCAUUGCUUUCUAUGACCCCAAGCUGACUGCAACUGAGGCCACUUCUCGACGAAUCUGGUAUGGGUCUGAUUGAUCACAGUACUUCUGACCACUGAUCCAUUCUAUUUCAGCAUUAUAUCUAUUCUUAUCAGCUCCGGAAAAAGAGGAAAACUAUUUUCUACCAUGUAAAAGAUAGGCCAUGUUGGACACCAAAAUGGCUGCUACAAUGAAAACCACACCUAAUGGGUGGGGCUAAAAGUUAGAAAUUAUUACGGUAACAUUAUGACUAUAUUUAGCACCAAGAGGUCUAUACCCUGAGUGAUAUUAUUGUAUUAAUGUUCAAUUAUUCAUACAGUGUAUUUACUAUAAAGUUUGUUUUAUACAAAUAUUAUGCUGGUAUGCAUCUGACCCACAGUAAUUCUAUCUGUGUGAUAGUUACUUUAAAUUAAGUCACGAUGCGUAUUAGAAAUUUGAAAUAUGCUGCUUAAUACUGACGUCACUAAAUUACAGCCAAUGAAAUUGAUACACAUGGUUGCUUGAAGAUACUGUUUAUAUAAACUCAGCGUUGGGUUAGCAGUUGAUAUUUUUAGUUAGGAGAAUGGAAUUCCACCGCUAUUCCUUAUUUGUCCUGUUAUUUGUCCUGUUAUUUGUUAAGCUACAGGCCAUACAAGGGUAUGGGAAUGGUGUGCCACCGGAUGAUUCAGGAGGUGGCUCUUUUCAAGAUGAUGCUGGUUCUGAUGGUGUAGAGCAUAUUCUUGCCACUAUCCUUCCCUUACUUAGAGAUAAUGGGUAUCUCCCUGCACAGUGUGCCAUUAUCCUUUUAAAAUUGUUUCAUUACGACACUUUGAAUAUUUCUUUUUAGUCUUAUCCUGCCACAUUUUGCCGUUAUAUUUGCUUUGGCCAUACGUCCAGUGCUGCCAGAGCCUUUUGCAGCUCAAGACCCACAAGGUCUACUUGACCUGUGGUACUACUGGUAGACUUGGUACUGUGGCACUUUUUGACUUUCAUUAUAAACUUUCAUUAUUAUUGUAUUAUAAAAGUCUUUAUUGAGUUGAUUCUUGCCAUAACUGAUCAAUUAUACCUGGAGUGGAUGUGGGUGUCACAAUACUGUGUAUGCAGCAAAAUUUUGUUGUACAUGAAUAUUUUCACAGCUUCAUAAUAGCAUCAAUCUAAUUCUGGGCUUAAUGACAAAUUGCAAAGAAUUUUACAAGUUAAAAUUAUUAUUAGAAUUAAGAAUUUAAUUUAGAUAGUCUGCAGAAACAAAAUUAAUUGUCAAUCAUUCACAAAAUUUUAUUACACAAAAUUUUGUUUGCAUACGGUAUUUCUUGCUGGCGGCAAAAUUAGUGUGCAUCAUUUAACAGGACUUUAACAAAUUUCGGAACCUUUUUGCUCAAGUUUAGAGAUGACAAAAAUCCUUCACUACUUAUGAUGAUGAUCAUAUGAAGAAAUGAUAAAAACCUACCACGGCAUAUUUAGACUCUUCAUAAUAUAUUUUUUUAUUAUUAAUACGAACACUUAAACCUCUCUUUUGCUUUCCAUCAAAAAAGAACAAUUUAUCAAUUUGUCACUCUG
rnacentral:lncRNA from 1 species